NNNNNNNNNNNNNNNNNNNNCAGUUGAACACGAGUUAGCCAAUCCUAAGCCGCAUGGGAAUCCAGUCGUAACCCAUCAGUCGGCGAAAGGGAAUCCGGUUACCAUUCCGGAGCCUGUUGAGUACCCGUUUGCGCCAGCCUAGUAGGGUUUAGCUCGUCCGCACCCGAACGGUUAGUGUGUAGCUUCAUGGCAACAUGAAUCCUUUUCUUCGAGAAGCCAACGAGAGGCAUCGGAAGAGUUUUCUUUUCUGUUUUACAGCCACACCGACCAUGGAAGUCACUCACAGAGAGAUAUGGUUGGACCGGUCUGGUAGAGCACGGCCGCCGCAACUGCCGUGUCGAUGCACUCUUCUUGGACCGUGAAAAUCGAAGACUGGGGCACACUUUAUAUGGUAAUAACGCACACUCUCAACAGAUUGUACCGAAUCCGCAGCAGGUCUCCAAGGUGCAGAGUCUCU
rnacentral:rRNA from 1 species